rnacentral:rRNA from 1 species
CCGGCCUACGGGGGGCAGCAGUGGGGGAUAUUGCACAAUGGGGGGAACCCUGAUGCAGCGACGCCGCGUGGGUGAAGAAGCGCCUCGGCGCGUAAAGCCCUGUCAGCAGGGAAGAAAAUGACGGUACCUGAAGAAGAAGCCCCGGCUAACUACGUGCCAGCAGCCGCGGUAAUACGUAGGGGGCAAGCGUUAUCCGGAUUUACUGGGUGUAAAGGGGGCGCAGACGGCGAUGCAAGCCAGGAGUGAAAGCCCGGGGCCCAACUGAGGAACUGCAACUAAAACUGGUUUUCUUGAGUGUUGGAGAG